ACUAAAUAAGUAAAUAAAUAAAAAAUCACAUCAUACGAAUUUUGGUCAUGGUUGGGCCACACAUUUAUUUUCUACAAUAUUCUUGAACUCCACCAUUUCUAUCAUCCUAGUGGGCGACAUCAGCAUCAGACGGUCAGGGUUUGCAUUGAGAAAUAAAAUAAAAUAAAAUAAAAUAAAUUUAAUGAUCCAAAUUUCCCAACUCUCUAGGAAACACGCUUCUCCUUUUUUCUCUUUAAUGAUUUUUUUGGAACAAAAAUACCCUUAUACUUUUCAAUAAUGCCAAACAUGUCCUUAAUAGACUCACUUCUCUCCCGGCCCUAGCUCAUCUUCUCUCCCGUUUCAUUCUUCACAAAAAAGAAAAAAACGAUGGAAGCUGUUGUGGCUGUUCUUCACAAAAAGGAAGAGAAGAAAUCAAAGAGUACAUGUAUAUCUCCAAAAGAAGUUUUGCCAACAAAUCAAUUCUUUUUCACCGAGCACUUUUCUUCCAUGACUGAUUCUGAUAGGACAUGGCCAAGUUAAUUGGUUGAAUCUUUAUAUGUGUUAGCUGUCUCCUUCUUAGGAAAAUUGGAGACUAGUGGAAAGGUGAAGAAAAGAGCAGAAGAGAGGAAAGGAGACAGUUUAAAGAAGAAACUGGUGUCCCGCUCCAUCAGGACGGGUCUUCAGUUCCAUGUUGCUUUUUAUGUGCUUGUAGAUAAAUCUUUUUUUUUAAGAAUGUUUUUAGGCCUGUGAAAUUCUCUCUUUUACUUUUAUUCUGCCAUGUACAAUAUUCUUUCUACUUAAUAUGAGUGAAUGAAAUCAAUUUUAUUUCAAAUA